rnacentral:rRNA from 1 species
UACGGGGGGAGCAAGCGUUGUUCGGAUUUACUGGGCGUAAAGGGCGCGUAGGCGGCCACCGCAAGUCGACUGUGAAAUCUCCGGGCUUAACCCGGAAAGGUCAGCCGAUACUGCGGGGCUAGAGUGCAGAAGGGGCAACUGGAAUUCUCGGUGUAGCGGUGAAAUGCGUAGAUAUCGAGAGGAACACCUGCGGCGAAGGCGGGUUGCUGGGCUGACACUGACGCUGAAGCGCGAAAGCUAGGGGAGCGAACAGG